GUGGGGAAUAUUGGGCAAUGGGCGAAAGCCUGACCCAGCAACGCCGCGUGAAGGAAGAAGGUUUUCGGAUCGUAAACUUCUAUCCUUGGUGAAGAUAAUGACGGUAGCCAAGAAGGAAGCCCCGGCUAACUACGUGCCAGCAGCCGCGGUAAUACGUAGGGGGCAAGCGUUGUCCGGAAUGAUUGGGCGUAAAGGGCGCGUAGGCGGCCUGGUAAGUCUGGAGUGAAAGUCCUGCUUUUAAGGUGGGAAUUGCUUUGGAUACUGUCGGGCUUGAGUGCAGGAGAGGUAAGUGGAAUUCCCGGUGUAGCGGUGAAAUGCGUAGAGAUCGGGAGGAACACCAGUGGCGAAGGCGACUUACUGGACUGUAACUGACGCUGAGGCGCUAAAGUGUGGGGAGCAAACAGGAUUAGAUACCCUGGUAGUCC
rnacentral:rRNA from 1 species